AUUGAACGCUGGCGGCAGGCCUAACACAUGCAAGUCGAGCGGUAACAGAGAGAAGCUUGCUUCUCUGCUGACGAGCGGCGGACGGGUGAGAAAUGUCCAGGAAUCUGUCUAGUAGUGGGGGAUAACUCGCCGAAAGGUAUGCUAAUACCGCACACGCCCUACGGGGGAAAGGGCGGGACCUCCUGGCCCUUCGCUAUUAGAUGAGCCUGGGUCGGAUUAGUUAGUUGGUGCGGUAAUGGCUCACCAAGACCGCGAUCCGUAACUGGUCUGAGAGGAUGAGCCGGCAACCUGGGACUGGGGCACCGGCCAAGACCCUUAGGGGAGGAAGCAGUGGGGAUAUUGGGACAUGGGGGGGAAGCCUGAUCCAGCCAUGCCGCGUGUGUGAAGAAGGUCUUAGGGUUGUAAAGCCCUUUUAGUUGGGAAGAAAAGCAGUUAACUAAUAUUUGGCUGUUUUGACGUUACCCAAAGAAUAAGCACCUGCUAACUUCGUG
rnacentral:rRNA from 1 species